rnacentral:lncRNA from 1 species
UGAUUUCAUGUAGUCACAAGCUAGACUGUCAAGGCUAGUUCUCUUUAAAUAAAUAGAGAAAUAAAUUUGUCAUAAUGCCUGCUCACCCACAUGUGGACACAGCUUAGCUUAGUCUUUACAUAGACAAGAUCCCUAUAUAAAUAAUACCUUAAAGCCAGGACAUUCCUCCUCUUGCUUGCUUACCCUACUCUGUACCCAGGCUGGAGCCCAGUGGCCGAUCUUGGCUCACUGCAACCUUCACCUCUCAGGUUUAAGCAAUUUUCUGCCUCGGCCUCCUGAGUAGCUGGGAUUACAAGUAUGCACCACCAUGCCUGGCUAUUUUUAUUUUUAUUUUUAGUAGAGACGGAGUUUCGCCAUGUUGGCCAGGCUGGUCUCAAACUCCUGGCCUCAAGUGAUCUAUUCACCUUGGCCUCCCAAAGUACUGAGAUUACAUUUUUACUUUUACCAGUCAGAGAAGAGAACAAGUUAUAUUUCCAAAUCCUGCAAGUCUUGAAUUUCUAAACUGCUUUUCUCUUUCAUCUCAUUUUGAAAAUGAGCUGAUUCUUCCUUGAACUUAACUCUUUCUUGGAAGGUAUCUUAUCAAAUGCAGCUAAUACCAAAAAGCUCAUUUAACAACAUUCUGUUUAAAAGUUCCUUUUCCCAGAGCUACAGUUUCAUUACAUACAAUUAUGUGUUUUUUAAAUUAUUGCAAGUGACAUAUUUACCAAAUAUUUUGCCAUUGCAUUAUGUCUGUUGCCAUUUCUCUAGUAACUGUUUACUAUCUAUCUACAGCCUGAUCACAAGCCAAUAUUACAUGUGUCAGUUUUUUUGUCGAUAUUUGCUUAUUUGUUAUGUGUUAUGUCAGGACCCACUUAUUGUAUCAAUUUCUCUGUUAAUCUUCUUUAUUGGAUAACAAACAUGCUUAAUGUAGCUUAUUCUGGAGCUCUUGCAGCAGACGCCUAUGUGUCCAGGCAAAGAGCAGAGGCAAGAAUAUAAGCAAAACCACAGGAUCAUAUUCAUAGCUGCUAAUACAUUCAGAAUGUUUUAGUUUUGUGAAAGACCCAACUCUUAAACUUAUUUAUGUAUUUUAUCAAUUUUUCUACUUUCGAAUUUACUAAAUUUGGCUUUAACUCUGUUAUGUUCUUCUUUUCCUGCUAUUGAUUUGUUUGUUUUUCUAUUUCUGACUCCUUAAAUUAAUGCUCAAUUCAUUUUCCUUUCUUCCUUACCUUCUUUCUUACCUUUUUUUUCUUUGUUACUGAGGACGUGAUCUUACCAGUCACAAAGUGGUAUUGUAUUCAGCCUCUUUCCUAGAGUUGCUGACUCAGUGUCAGGAACUUUCCCCAGAUGCCCUUUUAUUUCAGCUUUCUCUGAAAGUUACUUUCUGUUGUCUGUUGGCUUAUUGACUUAUGGUUUGACGUCCAGCUGCUUUCAAAUUUAAACAGUUCCAUUGCAGGAAAAAAAAAAAAAAAAAAAAA